rnacentral:sRNA from 1 species
UCUUUGCAAUCUUGUUUAAGUAUCCUGAAACGGGCUUUUCAGGAUCAUAUUUUAUUAAAUUUUUUAGGAGUGAAUAGUGGCCCGUAUAGCAGGCAUUAAUAUUCCUGAU